rnacentral:misc_RNA from 1 species
CCUCCUUAACGAUAAAUUCGCGUUUUAAACGCCCACACGAGUAAUCAAAUAUUAAGAAAGACCAUAUUGUUAUGUAAAAUUAUUGGUAUGUAAUUUUCUAGUGUAUGCAUAUGCAUACAUAAGAUCACUGCAAUUAAAAAGUAAUUAAUAAUAUUUUAUUAAGUUACUCUCAAAAAAAUAAUUAAGUAACCUUUUUUAAGGUUAUAUGAUCAAGUAAAGGAAGAGCACAAGGCGGAUGCCUUGGCAGCAUAAGGCGAUGAAGGACGUAAUAACCUGCGAUAAGCCUCGGGGAGCUGGUAAAUAAGCUUCGAUCCGAGGAUUUCCGAAUGGGGA